GAUGAACGCUGGCGGCGUGCCUAAUACAUGCAAGUCGAGCGAACAGACGAGGAGCUUGCUCCUCUGACGUUAGCGGCGGACGGGUGAGUAACACGUGGAGAACCUACCUAUAAGACUGGGAUAACUUCGGGAAACCGGAGCUAAUACCGGAUAAUAUAUUGAACCGCAGGGUUCAAUAGUGAAAGACGGUUUUGCUGUCACUUAUAGAUGGAUCCGCGCCGCAGUAGCGAGUUGGUAAGGUAACGGCUUACCAAGUCAACGAGGCGUAGCCGACCUGGGAGAUGGAUCGGCCACACUGGAAGUGAGUCACGGCCCACACUCCUACGGGGGGCAGCAGUAGGCAACCUCGCGCAACGGGCGAAGGCCUGACGGCGCAACGCCGGGUGGGUGAUGAGGGCCUUGGGAUCUUAAAGCUGUGUUAUUAGGGAAGAACAACUGUGUAAGUAGCUAUGCACGUCUUGACGGUACCUAAUCAAAAAGCCACGGCUAACUCCGUG
rnacentral:rRNA from 1 species